CGUCGGCCAGUGGAACGGGUGGAGGCGGUGCGAAAUGGCGGCGCGGGGCGGUGCGAAAUGGCGGCGCGGGGCGCCGGGCCCUGAGAGGGAGCGAUGCGACGCCACGCGGCCUGGCGGGGGCGGAGCCCCGCUUUACCUCCGGGUGCGGGCGCACAGCUGGCACAGACGCUCCGGGAUCCUGGCUGGAGCUGUGUUAACACGAUUUGGGGUUGAAAAAAAUGAUGAAUUAGCAACUCUGAAGAAGAAAAUGCUCUGUCCAGAGGUGCCCAUAUGGAGCUAAAGCUGCACAUCAUCUGCAGCAAUAUGUCCGUGAACUCUGUUUGGCCUGUCAGGUGAGAGUAAGACUUGGAAAAAUGGUCUGUAUCCCAUAUUCCCUGCAAGACUGCUACCACCCUCGUCUCAGGAAGACUGCUGAGGAGAAAUGGGGUGGUAAGCUACUUCUCCCUUCUUUAGGGACAGAGAAAAUUAAUACUUUGUCUUCUGAACUGUGGCAGUGACAUUGUUUUUUGUGUGACUUAAGCCGAGAUGACUGCAUAAACUUAGGGCACGUAUCUUCCCUUCUCUCUUCUCCUCACUUUGAAAGAUUAAAAAGAAGCACAGGCAUGUAAAAAGCAAGCCCUGAAAUCUCUUGGCCUUUUGGAGUCUCAGUUGUCCUUUUUCAACACUUAGAGGUUGUAUUACUGGCACCAAUAGGAGAUAAUGAAGUAGCAGCCACAUCCCAUGGAGCAGAACCACUUGCCUAAAAUCACUUACUAUGGACCUGUGCUUCCAGUGAACAUUUGGAAGGUUCUUAUUAAAGCUCCCUAUCCAGGUCAUUGCUCUACUCUCCUCAGUGAUAACUAAAAGGCGAUUCCAGCAGGUGAAUUACAGACAGAGAAAUUGUUUAGUGGCUGCCUGACACAAGCUGCUGGAGAGCUGCAAAUCUAGGUGUUGGUGGAUUAUCCUUCACCAAAAAAACCCAAAAGUUAAGAGCUACAUAGGAAAAAGUGAAACAAGGAUGAAUGUUCUGGAUCUGAUGGAGAUGUGUAGAUGAGAGGGAAUUAUCACCAUGGGAAGCUGCUGACUGGGCUAUAUAAGGAGCUGAAAUUACUGGUUAUGCCAGUUCACUUAAGCAGUCAAAAUCAUUGAAAGAUAGCAUAGUCCCUGGUUGUUUUGACCCUAAUCAUUAACCACUGAUGUGACUGAAGAACACCCACAGAUUUUGCUGAAAGCCUUAGGCUUCUACAGYGGAAAGGUGGGCUCAGCGAUGAAUUUAUGGUGAUCAGAGUUAGGUUAAACUUGAAAAUGAGGCAGUAGAAAUACCUGCAAGGUUUCUGCAUAGUAGCAAUGGAAAACAUGGGACUACAGAUGUCUCAACAGUUCUGUGGCUACAAGUCCUGAUUUUGUAAAAAGACAAGCCCACUCCAUUCUCAGAAAAUAGAAAGGGUGAAAAAAUUGCACUUUUUGUCAUGUAUUUUGGAAAGCUGAAUAUUUUUGACUAGAGGAUGCUUGGGCUCUUGCUUGCAUUCCCCUUGCAUGCCAAGUGAUGGCGAUGUACUAAUUUUGUAAGGAAAUAGUCUCCCAGAGCAACUGAAAUUGUGACACUCUGCUAGGUUGUCCAGCUUGGUUUUUAACAUCUAGAUUUCCUGUAAGACUAGAGAAAUAUAUAAUGGAUUUAUUUGCAUCUGUCUUACAAAGGAGCAAAAAUAUACCAGAAAUAGUAGAAGAGAUUCAAGAAAAGAGAGUGCCAUCAGCACGUUGGAAAGCAAAUAGAUUAGAAAACUGACUGUGCUGGGAAAAAAAGGAAGAUGAUUUUCUCCUUAAAAUAUUCCUUCACGGGCAAGAAGAGGAAAAUUAAUUUAGCAGAGUUAUAUCUAUUGGUCAGAUAAGCUGGGCUAAAGUUUACUAUCUCCAAGAACCAGAAUAUCUGUAUCAUAGUCUUGUGUUUUGGUACACUUCAAAAAACAGUGUGUUCAGGGAUUUAAAAUUAGACUAUUUUCUCAGCACUCCUGAAUCCAUGUCCCAACUAGGCCAUAUGGAGGAGCCAGAGAAGUAAUUUACAUGUAUGUCUGUUCUGAUGAGAGCCACUCCCAAGAGUAUCUUGCUCCGAAAACACUCCUUCGUUUCUGUCACUGUGGGGCUAUCUGUGAGGUUUUUAUGGAGCCAAUAGAAGAACAGUAAUUGUGUUUAUUAUGAUUUUCUGGUACAUCUCUCUUUUGUGGUACCAUGUAUGUGGGACCAGGCUGAAUUGGGUCUCUCAGACCUCACCUAUACACACAUYAGCACAAUGUACUGCUGUUCACAUAAUUGCAGUUGUAGUAGUGUAAAGGGUCUUUUGCUGGUGUGGCUGUUCCCAGAGCUGAACUGCAUCCCUGUGAGAAACUGUAGUGACAGUGACAACUUGAGCAGAAAAAACACACCCUUAGCUGACAUGGUAAUGUACUAGACCCAGCCUAAGAAAUACUCUCCAUUUCAGACCAGAAAUGCUCUUGAUAUAACACUGUACCAUAAUACAAUCCAUCAGCUCUGAGAUGAGGCAUUGAAUGGGUACCACUUUUUAUAAUGCACUGAGACCUGUAGUUGAUGGUGGGAAAAGGACACUAUAUAAAUUCAAUUUUUUGCUUUGUCUGUAUAAGAGCUGCAGAGCAAAUAUGUUAUUUUAAGCCUAAUCAGUGAAUAAACAGGAAUUAACUAAAA
ensembl:lncRNA